GCCAAGCUCUUGGUGUCCCCUUUGGCUCUGGAGGGCUUGUGGAGCAGGCUGGAAGCCAAAGAUUCAGAAGGGUCCUCUCCUGAUUUCCACAACAGCCUAACUCUCUAAAGAGGUUAUGCCAAAGUUCUGGGGGCACAGAGAGAAGUGAGUGGUUUCAAGGGAGCUGGAGAGAGGGGAGAUGGCUCCAUGACAGGAACAAGGAGGAUACUCACAGGUGCUGGGAAGGCAGAGACCCAGGCCCCGCUCCCUGCCACAGUGUGACAGCCUUUGAGGUUUCCCUUCCUCCAUCGAGACCAACGGCCAGACAGAGACAGCAAGCGCACGCCUGAGAAUCCAGAAGCAUUCUGGGAAAUGGUGUAAGCAAAGCAUCGGAGGCAUUUAUCAAGAAAAUCUGAAUAUCAACCGUCAAGCCCCAGGCCGAGGGGAGCUGGGAAUAUUUCAGGGCACAUUAACCACUGUUGUGGAUGCACACACAGAAGUCUCUGGAUCCAGCAUUGAGCAAAAAUCCAUCUGUGAUGCCAAUCCUGACAACAGACAGAAAGAGGACAUUAACACUUUCGGGUCUCUCGAGAAGUCUCUUCCUCACCUUUAAUGUGUAAGGUGUGGAGCAGGAGCAGGGGAGUGCAGGGAGGCAGAUCUGUCCUCUGCACCCCAUGUCCCCCCAACCCAGGCUUCCUCAGAAGUGGAGCGAGCCCAUGUCAAAGAGAGCUGGAGGCACAGGCAUCACACGUCAGAUGCAGGGCCACCAGCAGCUGAGCUCCGAGCUCGCUGUAGCCGCCCCAGGAAGCAGCACGUCCUGCUCGCAGGGGCUAGAGAGACGGCGCAGACUCCCACCGACGGGCACGAUGCCCACCUCACCUCCAGCAGGCCCCAACUGUACCGCGCCGGACAGUUGUGACCUACCCUUGUGACCUACCGAGGAACAAAGAUUAGGUUUGCUCAUCUGUGAGAGGCAGCUGCCCGAGAGACCUCGUUUGCAAUCUGGCUCCCCUCUUUUGGCUCCUGCUGAGCAUCUUGGGCUAGUCAGGGACAGCCUUCCUCUUGUGAUGUCCUCUCCUCCACGGAAGCCUGACCGCUGUGACCUUGAUAAAUGCUGAGCAGAUGGAAAAGGAGACUUUGACAAUCACAGAAGCAUCGUGUCCCCUGAUUCUGGCACCCCCGCGGGAGGAAAGAAGCCGAUCAGAGACUUGGUGUGUCGAUGUGCACCGAGUGAGCACCUACUGUGUGUCUGGGACUGAGGCUGGCACAGCCGGAGAGAAAGGGUGGGCAUUUCUAGCACAUGCUUUCUUCCACUGCAGAGGAUUCCACACCUCAGCCCCUCUUCACGUCGGGGGAGGCAGAGACAGGGGAAGUGAAGGGGGGGAAACUGCUAGUAUGUUUUCUCCUAAAGUGCUCUUGACACAUUUUCCUGUUGGCAGGUGGUGGCAAAAACCUACAACUGGAAGGUUUAAGUAAAAAUGGAGCACACAGAUGGGUGUCCGGUUUUUAGGUGGCUGCUCCCGUGCUGAAACACGCGGCUUACCCUUCUCCAACCGGCUUAAAAUGGGCUCUAGCAACUGUUCAAGGGCCAAACACUUGGCACUCGCCAGGGUACUUGCCCCUGAUCUUUCUCAUCGCCCUGGCCCUCUCCUUAAUUGCUAUGGCAGCAGCUGGCUCCUCCCCAGCCAGCACACCCCCUCCCUUGGCUUCCCACCCUCCCCGUCUUUGCAAAAUGGACAUCUUGGCACCUCUAUGUGUCCUGCUUUAAACCCACUAGUGAUUUCCAUUACUCAUGGCACAGGUCCCACUUCCCUGAAUGGCUAAGCACACCUCAUAUGGCUGAGCUCUUCCUCCCCCUCCCGCCUUCCCUCAUCAUUUUCUGUCCUCAAGUUUUUAAGGUCUAGCCACUCGGGCCUCUGUUUAGUCCCUGGACCCUGCUUGUGCCCUUUCCCACCUCUGGAAACUUACUUAUGCUGCUCCUACCACCUUCCCCACCCCACUCCUCUCUGACCUCCUUCCAGCGGCCCUCUCUGACCUGCCUGUCCUUCAGACCCAGCUCAGGGAUCUUCCCGGACAUCUAGAACUCGGGCGGUUCCCUGUUCCGACCCCUCCAAUGGCUCACAUAAAUUCUCACUCUUAACACUCAUCAUACCCUGUUGUAUGCAGGUGUUAAAUACCUUGCUGCUUGGACCAGAAGCUCUGUGAGGGCAGAGAUCACAUCUGUCCUGCUCAUUGCCAGCAACUAAUAAAGUGAUGGCCAAUGGUUUUGCUGUGUCAAUGACAAUGACAUGUUUACUGAAAGAAAGCAUUCUUGAGUGAAUCCCAAAAAUGCUUAGUGAGAAAGGUAGGCGGUUUAGUGUAUCGACUGAGUGGAGAAACCUGGUAAUAAUAAUAAUAAUGAGAGUUAAUACAUAUUGAGCCCUCACUGUCUGCCAAACACCAUACGUAUUUUUUACAUUUCACAACAAUAUGAUAUGAGAUAGGCACUCUUAUUCAAACUCUUUAACAGAAGGAGAAAACAGGUGCAAGGAGGGUAAGCAAAAUGCCUACAGGUGCCCAACUCAUAC